rnacentral:rRNA from 1 species
GAUGAACGCUAGCGGCGGGCUUAAUACAUGCAAGUCGAGGGGUGGUAACAAUACUACACCGGCGCAAGGGUGCGUAACGCGUAUGCAAUCUACCUUUAUCUGGGGGAUAGCCCGGGGAAACCGGGAUUAAUACCGCAUAACAAAGUUCUUGGCAUCAAGAGAUUUUAAAAGAUUUAACGGGUAAAGAUGAGCAUGCGUAAGAUUAGAGAGUUGGCGAGGUAACGGCUAUCCAAGUCUACGAGCUUUAGGGGCUCUGAGAGGAGAAUCCCCCACACUGGCACUGAGAUACGGGCCAGACUACUACGGGAGGCAGCAGUAGGGAAUAUUGGGCAAUGGGCGCAAGCCUGACCCAGCCACGCCGCGUGCAGGAAGAAGGCCCUCUGGGUUGUAAACUGCUUUUGACUGGGAAGAAAAGACUCCUUGCGAGGAGAGUUGACGGUACCAGCAGAAUAAGCCACGGCUAACUACGUGCCAGCAGCCGCGGUAAGAC